rnacentral:rRNA from 2 species
UAGGAUGAACGCUGGCGGCGUGCCUAAUACAUGCAAGUCGAACGAGUUCUGAUUAUUGAAAGGUGCUUGCAUCUUGAUUUAAUUUUGAACGAGUGGCGGACGGGUGAGUAACACGUGGGUAACCUGCCCUUAAGUGGGGGAUAACAUUUGGAAACAGAUGCUAAUACCGCAUAAAUCCAAGAACCGCAUGGUUCUUGGCUGAAAGAUGGCGUAAGCUAUCGCUUUUGGAUGGACCCGCGGCGUAUUAGCUAGUUGGUGAGGUAACGGCUCACCAAGGCAAUGAUACGUAGCCGAACUGAGAGGUUGAUCGGCCACAUUGGGACUGAGACACGGCCCAAACUCCUACGGGAGGCAGCAGUAGGGAAUCUUCCACAAUGGACGCAAGUCUGAUGGAGCAACGCCGCGUGAGUGAAGAAGGCUUUCGGGUCGUAAAACUCUGUUGUUGGAGAAGAAUGGUCGGCAGAGUAACUGUUGUCGGCGUGACGGUAUCCAACCAGAAAGCCACGGCUAACUACGUGCCAGCAGCCGCGGUAAUACGUAGGUGGCAAGCGUUAUCCGGAUUUAUUGGGCGUAAAGCGAGCGCAGGCGGUUUUUUAAGUCUGAUGUGAAAGCCCUCGGCUUAACCGAGGAAGUGCAUCGGAAACUGGGAAACUUGAGUGCAGAAGAGGACAGUGGAACUCCAUGUGUAGCGGUGAAAUGCGUAGAUAUAUGGAAGAACACCAGUGGCGAAGGCGGCUGUCUGGUCUGUAACUGACGCUGAGGCUCGAAAGCAUGGGUAGCGAACAGGAUUAGAUACCCUGGUAGUCCAUGCCGUAAACGAUGAAUGCUAGGUGUUGGAGGGUUUCCGCCCUUCAGUGCCGCAGCUAACGCAUUAAGCCGCAUUAAGCAUUCCGCCUGGGGAGUACGACCGCAAGGUUGAAACUCAAAGGAAUUGACGGGGGCCCGCACAAGCGGUGGAGCAUGUGGUUUAAUUCGAAGCAACGCGAAGAACCUUACCAGGUCUUGACAUCUUUUGAUCACCUGAGAGAUCAGGUUUCCCCUUCGGGGGCAAAAUGACAGGUGGUGCAUGGUUGUCGUCAGCUCGUGUCGUGAGAUGUUGGGUUAAGUCCCGCAACGAGCGCAACCCUUAUGACUAGUUGCCAGCAUUUAGUUGGGCACUCUAGUAAGACUGCCGGUGACAAACCGGAGGAAGGUGGGGAUGACGUCAAAUCAUCAUGCCCCUUAUGACCUGGGCUACACACGUGCUACAAUGGAUGGUACAACGAGUUGCGAGACCGCGAGGUCAAGCUAAUCUCUUAAAGCCAUUCUCAGUUCGGACUGUAGGCUGCAACUCGCCUACACGAAGUCGGAAUCGCUAGUAAUCGCGGAUCAGCACGCCGCGGUGAAUACGUUCCCGGGCCUUGUACACACCGCCCGUCACACCAUGAGAGUUUGUAACACCCGAAGCCGGUGGCGUAACCCUUUUAGGGAGCGAGCCGUCUAAGGUGGGACAAAUGAUUAGGGUGAAUCU